AGGGAAUAUUGGACAAUGGGGGCAACCCUGAUCCAGCCAUGCCGCGUGAGUGAAGAAGGCCCUCGGGUUGUAAAGCUCUUUUGACCGGAAAGAAAAGCAUUCGGUGAAUACCCGGAUGUUCUGACGGUACCGGAAGAAUAAGCACCGGCUAACUUCGUGCCAGCAGCCGCGGUAAUACGAAGGGUGCAAGCGUUACUCGGAAUUACUGGGCGUAAAGCGUGCGUAGGUGGUUGUUUAAGUCUGAUGUGAAAGCCCUGGGCUCAACCUGGGAAUGGCAUUGGAAACUGGGCAGCUAGAGUGCGGUAGAGGGUAGUGGAAUACCCGGUGUAGCAGUGAAAUGCGUAGAGAUCGGGAGGAACAUCUGUGGCGAAGGCGACUGCCUGGACCAGCACUGACACUGAGGCACGAAAGCGUGGGGAGCAAACA
rnacentral:rRNA from 1 species